UCACUAUACUCAUAAAAAAGUCUUUAAAGUGCUUAAAUUUGCUAAGCUUUGUGUAGUUUUUGCAGUGGUGUAAUUAUUAGACACCAAGAUUGGCAUCGUGGUGAAAUUAGAAGUGUGGGCAAAGAAGUGUUGAUGAGGAUUUUAUGCCUGCUGAAGACCAUUAAGUUACCGAUGAGCUGGAAAAUAUCCUCCAUGAAAGCCUAAAAGAAGAUCAAAAUAAACCCCCACGAAUGAAUAAAGCAGAUAUUUUUAUCGCCAUUGACGAUCAAUCAGGUUUAAUACCUAGUGUAGAGGAAACCUUCACGUUGCAUGGAAAAUAACAAUUGAUUAUUUUCAAAAACACAUUCCUUAAUGUCCUCAUUGCUCCUGUAAUGUUCGAAGGGAGAAUACAUGACAACAUGAAAAGGGCUAAAAAUGAAUGCAGCUAUAAAGAACUGGGCUUGGAUCCAGUUUGAAAAGGACACCCUUUUGUCGUUUGAGAGGCUAUAUGGUGAAAUUUAUCCUCAUACAUUAAUUGAAAUGGAAUGUACGAAUAGCAGAGACUUAAUUGAAUCAUAUGGAAUACACUAAUAUAAUGGCGGAACUAGGCUACGAAUCAUUUUACAACAAGGCAUCAAAAAAGAACACACAUGGACUUUAUAAACUGAUUGAUAGUGGAGAAACCUGCAGCAGCAUUGCCUGGGAUAACCCCAAUCCAUGGACGACAUUUUCUGGCUCUCUACCUAUCGGCAAUCCUCCAUAUAGUGAAAUAAAGCAGCCAAUUUUUAUUUCAUUUCACUGAAAUUUAAAUCAGGAAAACGAAAUUUUCACCUAUUUAGGUUAUUUUUUGCAUCAAACAUUAUGCUUUUACCCUAAGCAGCUUCCGUUCUACAACCUGAGAAUAUUAAAAUAUCGAGCAAAGAUUUGGUAAAAAAUUCUAUUUUCCAUAUGCAGGUAUGGUUCUUGAAAGGGGCAAAUCCGAACAUAUUUGAGAAUAGUUGAAUAUAGUUUGACGUUAAGUCCAAUAUCUUUUUGAAAAUAUGAAAAAUUCUGUGACCUAUAACCCUUGCUAAAAAUUCU
rnacentral:sRNA from 1 species